GCUGGAGGUAUCAGAAGUGCGAAUGCUGACAUAAGUAACGAUAAAGCGGGUGAAAAGCCCGCUCGCCGGAAGACCAAGGGUUCCUGUCCAACGUUAAUCGGGGCAGGGUGAGUCGACCCCUAAGGCGAGGCCGAAAGGCGUAGUCGAUGGGAAACGGGUUAAUAUUCCCGUACUUGGUGUUACUGCGAAGGGGGGACGGAGAAGGCUAUGUUGGCCGGGCGACGGUUGUCCCGGUUUAAGCGUGUAGGCUGGUUUUCCAGGCAAAUCCGGAAAAUCAAGGCUGAGGCGUGACGACGAGGCACUACGGUGCUGAAGCAACAAAUGCCCUGCUUCCAGGAAAAGCCUCUAAGCAUCAGGUAACAUCAAAUCGUACCCCAAACCGACACAGGUGGUCAGGUAGAGAAUACCAAGGCGCUUGAGAGAACUCGGGUGAAGGAACUAGGCAAAAUGGUGCCGUAACUUCGGGAGAAGGCACGCUGACACGUAGGUGAAGUGAUUUACUCAUGGAGCUGAAGUCAGUCGAAGAUACCAGCUGGCUGCAACUGUUUAUUAAAAACACAGCACUGUGCAAACACGAAAGUGGACGUAUACGGUGUGACGCCUGCCCGGUGCCGGAAGGUUAAUUGAUGGGGUCAGCGCAAGCGAAGCUCCUGAUCGAAGCCCCGGUAAACGGCGGCCGUAACUAUAACGGUCCUAAGGUAGCGAAAUUCCUUGUCGGGUAAGUUCCGACCUGCACGAAUGGCGUAAUGAUGGCCAGGCUGUCUCCACCCGAGACUCAGUGAAAUUGAACUCGCUGUGAAGAUGCAGUGUACCCGCGGCAAGACGGAAAGACCCCGUGAACCUUUACUAUAGCUUGACACUGAACAUUGAGCCUUGAUGUGUAGGAUAGGUGGGAGGCUUUGAAGCGUGGACGCCAGUCUGCGUGGAGCCGACCUUGAAAUACCACCCUUUAAUGUUUGAUGUUCUAACGUGGACCCGUAAUCCGGGUUGCGGACAGUGUCUGGUGGGUAGUUUGACUGGGGCGGUCUCCUCCUAAAGAGUAACGGAGGAGCACGAAGGUUGGCUAAUCCUGGUCGGACAUCAGGAGGUUAGUGCAAUGGCAUAAGCCAGCUUGACUGCGAGCGUGACGGCGCGAGCAGGUGCGAAAGCAGGUCAUAGUGAUCCGGUGGUUCUGAAUGGAAGGGCCAUCGCUCAACGGAUAAAAGGUACUCCGGGGAUAACAGGCUGAUACCGCCCAAGAGUUCAUAUCGACGGCGGUGUUUGGCACCUCGAUGUCGGCUCAUCACAUCCUGGGGCUGAAGUAGGUCCCAAGGGUAUGGCUGUUCGCCAUUUAAAGUGGUACGCGAGCUGGGUUUAGAACGUCGUGAGACAGUUCGGUCCCUAUCUGCCGUGGGCGCUGGAGAACUGAGGGGGGCUGCUCCUAGUACGAGAGGACCGGAGUGGACGCAUCACUGGUGUUCGGGUUGUCAUGCCAAUGGCACUGCCCGGUAGCUAAAUGCGGAAGAGAUAAGUGCUGAAAGCAUCUAAGCACGAAACUUGCCCCGAGAUGAGUUCUCCCUGAGACUUAGAGUCUCCUGAAGGAACGUUGAAGACGACGACGUUGAUAGGCCGGGUGUGUAAGCGCAGCGAUGCGUUGAGCUAACCGGUACUAAUGAACCGUGAGGCUUAACCUUACAACGCCGAAG
rnacentral:rRNA from 1 species